CACCAAGCACAGUUGCCUCUGUGGUACUGAACUGUUCAAAAUUCUGGUUAAUUUCACUCUGCUCUUGUGGAUGCCAUUGGAGUAGUUCUGCACUGGAGAAGAGAUUGUGUUGAGGGAGCUUCUGAAGAUCUCCCAGAACAAGCAAGACUACAUGUUACAAAUGGCCCAGACGUAGAGCUUCAUUUGCUGUUAAUUCCUCUAAAAGCUCUGUAAAUGGUGCUACAAUAUUUUUACUGAAAGCCAAAGACAGGAGAGAACAUCUCACUUAGAAGUUGUGGUAGAAGAUGGUACCAAGAAGGUUAUUUAGGAGGAGACUGCAGAGGCUUUCACAGCUUGUUCGUGUUGUGCAGCAGACUGAUAUCCCAUGGGCCAUUGAGGAUUACAAUAACAUCAUUCAUUUGCAUUGUGAGGUGCUGCUGUGCCUCUUUCCCUCACACAGACUGCCAGUUAUAACUCUGUGGAUUGUUUCCAAAGUCUGAAUCUAUUUGGCAAGCUUUCUCAAUGACAUUAAGAGUUUGAUUACCUUUGUUCCUGUGUGUGGGGACUGCCUGUGUUUUUUGAAGAAAUGUUGAACGUAAACCUUUUUGGUCUCUGAAAUGUUUUGCUUUUGCUGGAACUUCUGCUAUUAAUAUCAUAUUUUUAAAAUUGUAAAGCAUUCACUUUCAGUUAAACUGCACUGUGUUAUACUUGAUGGUUCUUUGCUGUAGUUUAGUGUUUUUCAGUAGAGUCCACCAGUUUCCUCUCUUUAAGUCUGUGUUGUUUAAUGUGAAUUGCAGGAUUGAAUCCUGCCUCUAAAUACAAAGUCCAGGGACUCAUUUCAAGAAGAAAAUCUUGCUUCCAUUUUAAGUGUUUGUAUGUACAACAAUAGCUAAUUCACUGUGCAGCAGCAGCACAUUUCUUAUAUAGUUUUUAGCCCUAUCUUAUUAACUAAUAUUUUAUUUCUUUAUCCUUUGUUAAUUCAUAAUUAGUGAGACUGAAUAUUGGCUGGCAGCAAAUACCCCUUUGUCUGUGGCCUCUUCAGAUCUCAUAAGCUAAGUAUUUGUCAGGCCUCAUCAGUACUUGGAUUAGAGACCUACAAGUAUAACCCAGAUGCUGCAAGAAAUUGUGUUAUGGUGCCAUGAUGCUUUCUUUCUAGCUGGUAUUAAACUAAAAAAGUGCCUGGUAUUGGGGCUGGGGCACUGCACAUCAAGAAGUGUUGUCUUCUGAUUGAGACAUAAAAUUGAGGUCGUGAUUACUCAAUGUCCCUGAAAUUCCUUUGGUUCUUUUCACAAGAUGUACAGGUCAAAUUCCAACUUGAAUACAGUAAUUAUAUGCUGCCUAACUAAAAUUCCCCUGUAUUUUAAAUUAGAGCAGU